UGGGGAAUAUUGCACAAUGGGCGCAAGCCUGAUGCAGCCAUGCCGCGUGUGUGAAGAAGGCCUUCGGGUUGUAAAGCACUUUCAGCGAGGAGGAAGGUGGUGGACUUAAUACGUUCAUCAAUUGACGUUACUCGCAGAAGAAGCACCGGCUAACUCCGUGCCAGCAGCCGCGGUAAUACGGAGGGUGCAAGCGUUAAUCGGAAUUACUGGGCGUAAAGCGCACGCAGGCGGUUUGUUAAGUCAGAUGUGAAAUCCCCGGGCUCAACCUGGGAACUGCAUUUGAAACUGGCAAGCUAGAGUCUCGUAGAGGGGGGUAGAAUUCCAGGUGUAGCGGUGAAAUGCGUAGAGAUCUGGAGGAAUACCGGUGGCGAAGGCGGCCCCCCUGGACGAAGACUGACGCUCAGGUGCGAAAGCGUGGGGCAGCAAACAGGAUUAGAUACCCCUGGUAGUCCACGCUGUAAACGAUGUCGAUUUGGAGGUUGUGCCCUUGAGGCGUGGCUUCCGGAGCUAACG
rnacentral:rRNA from 1 species